rnacentral:rRNA from 1 species
UGGGGGAUAUUGCACAAUGGGCGAAAGCCUGAUGCAGCGACGCCGCGUGGGGGAUGAAGGCUUUCGGGUUGUAAACCUCUUUCGCUAUCGAACAAGGCCCGCUUAGGGUGGGUUGAGGGUAGGUGGAGAAGAAGCGCCGGCUAACUACGUGCCAGCAGCCGCGGUAAUACGUAGGGCGCGAGCGUUGUCCGGAAUUAUUGGGCGUUAAGGGCUUGUAGGCGGCUUGUUGCGCCUGCUGUGAAAACGCGGGGCUUAACUUCGCGCGUGCAGUGGGUACGGGCAGGCUUGAGUGUGGUAGGGGUGACUGGAAUUCCAGGUGUAGCGGUGGAAUGCGCAGAUAUCUGGAGGAACACCGAUGGCGAAGGCAGGUCACUGGGCCAUUACUGACGCUGAGGAGCGAAAGCAUGGGUAGCGAACAGG